rnacentral:rRNA from 1 species
UACGAAGGGGGCAAGCGUUGUUCGGAAUUACUGGGCGUAAAGGGCGCGUAGGCGGCUUAUCAAGUCAGGCGUGAAAUUCCCGGGCUCAACCUGGGGGCUGCGCUUGAUACUGAUGAGCUUGAAUGCGGGAGAGGAUAGUGGAAUUCCCAGUGUAGAGGUGAAAUUCGUAGAUAUUGGGAAGAACACCGGUGGCGAAGGCGACUUACUGGACACAUAUUGACGCUGAGGUGCGAAAGCGUGGGGAGCAAACAGG